UGGGGAAUAUUGGACAAUGGGGGGAACCCUGAUCCAGCCAUGCCGCGUGUGUGAAGAAGGCCUUAUGGUUGUAAAGCACUUUAAGCGAGGAGGAGGGUACUGGUAUUAAUACUACCAGGUACUGGACGUUACUCGCAGAAUAAGCACCGGCUAACUCUGUGCCAGCAGCCGCGGUAAUACAGAGGGUGCGAGCGUUAAUCGGAUUUACUGGGCGUAAAGCGUGCGUAGGCGGCUAAUUGAGUCGGAUGUGAAAUCCCCGAGCUUAACUUGGGAAUUGCAUUCGAUACUGGUUAGCUAGAGUGUGGGAGAGGAUGGUAGAAUUCCAGGUGUAGCGGUGAAAUGCGUAGAGAUCUGAAGGAAUACCGAUGGCGAAGGCAGCCAUCUGGCCUAACACUGACGCUGAGGUACGAAAGCAUGGGGAGCAAACAGG
rnacentral:rRNA from 1 species